rnacentral:rRNA from 1 species
CGGCGACUAAUCUGAGUGUCUAGUGGGCCAUUUUUGGUAAGCAGAACUGGCGCUGUGGGAUGAACCAAACGUCGAGUUAAGGGGCCCCAUUGAAUGCUCAUUCAGAUCCCAUCGAAAGGCGUUGGUUGCUCUGGACAGCAGGACGGUGGCCAUGGAAGUCGGAAUCCGCUAAGGAGUGUGUAACAACUCACCUGCCGAAGCAACUAGCCCUUAAAAUGGUAUGGCGCUGAAGCAUUCUCCCGAUACUCGACCGCCGGGGCACUAGCGACCACGUCCCAGAGACGUGGUCACGAAUCCCCCCGGUGAGUAAGAGGGUCGCAGUGGUGAGCGCUGAAGGGAUCCGGCGUGAGCCGGCCUGGAGCCACCACUGGCGCAGAUCUUGGUGGUAGUAGCAAAUACUCGAGAGAGACUCCCUUGAAGACCGAUGUGGAGAAGGGUUCCAUGUGAACAUCAGUUGGACAUGGGUUAGUCGCUCCUAAGCCCAAGGCUAAGGCCUGAUCCCAUGCUAGCGGC